GGUUAAGUUAGAAAGGGCGCACGGUGGAUGCCUUGGCACUAGGAGCCGAAGAAGGACGGGACUAACACCGAUAUGCUUUGGGGAGCUGUACGUAAGCGUUGAUCCAGAGAUUUCCGAAUGGGGGAACCCACUAUCUUUAGUCGGAUAGUAUCCUUACGUGAAUACAUAGCGUGAGGAAGGCAGACCCAGGGAACUGAAACAUCUAAGUACCUGGAGGAAGAGAAAGAAAAAUCGAUUUCCUGAGUAGCGGCGAGCGAAACGGAAAGAGCCCAAACCAAGAAGCUUGCUUCUUGGGGUUGUAGGACACUCUAUACGGAGUUACAAAAGAAAGUUAUAAAUGAAGCGGUCUGGAAAGGCCCGCCAAAGACGGUAACAGCCCGGUAGUUGAAAUGGCUUUCCCUCCAGAGUGGAUCCUGAGUACGGCGGAACACGUGAAAUUCCGUCGGAAUC
rnacentral:rRNA from 1 species